GGGAGCGGAUUGGGUCUGGUGGCCUGAUCAGUCUUCAAAACUGUAUGCGCCCUGAAAAGGGCUCGGUGGGUUCGAUUCCCACACGCUCCC
rnacentral:tRNA from 1 species